UCACAAGGCAGGAGACUUUUGGAUAUCUCUUUGUUUCUAGUUUGUCAUAUUUGUUUUUUCGUAAAUUGUGUGGACACAAAUGGACAUAUCGUUGACAUAGCAUAAGAAUAAAAAGUUGCCAAGAUUUCAACUUUGAGCUUAUUUACAUAAUCUAUAGUUUCCGGUCAGAUAAGAAACAAUCUAACCAUUUAACAAACAUAACCUCAGUAUGAUGUAAUGUUGCACUUAUAUUUCAGGUAAGGGUGAAGGUUGGCGCCUGUAAAAACGUUUAAACCCGCUGCAUUUGUUUGCACUUUCCUAAGUAAGGUGCCUGUCGUUAAGUGGUUGUCAUUUGUUGAUGUGGUUCAUAAGUGUUUCUCGUUUCUCGUUUUUUGUAUAGAUUAGACCGUUGGUUUUCCUGUUUGAAUUGUUUUACACUAGUCAUUUUGGAGCCCUUUAUAGCUUGCUGUUCGAUGUGAGCCAAGGAUACGUGUUGAAGGCCGUACUUUGACUUAUAUUUGUUUACUUUUUACACAUGUGUGACUUGGAUCGAGAGUUGUCUCAUUACCACUCAUACCACAUCUUCUUAUUUUUAUAACCUCAAUAAAUGUUCAUUAGCUAUAAUUUUUACAAAUUAUUCGGUGGGGCUAUAUGUAGGAAUCUUUUUGAUGUUGGUGGUUUUGUGAGAUCGAUAAGAUAAGUAUAGGUAAAUUAAUAUCUACUGAAAAUGUACUUCAUACAUUGAAUUCGCCAGUUUUUAACAUUUAUCCUUUUAAAGACAUUGGUAUAUACAUAUUUUAUUAAUUAAAUUAAAGUUAUUAAUAUACCCAAUUUGGCAUAAACAUAUAAACACAAUUGAAUAAUUAACAGGUAUCGGAAACAAGCUGUAAACUUCCAUUAAUAUGUUAUUUAAAGGAUUCAAGAUUUGAGGCAAUAAAUACUUACUGGUCGAUAAUUCCCUAUCUAUUUCACAAUGGCUAUCUUUAGUUUUUCACAUUUUUUUAUUUCUUAUUCGCCAAAUAGGUUAUAUUUUUUGCCAGGGUCUUUCUCUCAUCGUUAAUGAAUAUUUAGAUUUAUCAUAUACUUAGACUAAAUAACAUAUGAAUUUUACCGUAUGAUAAUAGCAUUAAAUUUACGUAAAUUCCAUAUUUUUCGAAUUGGUGCUUAGUGGGCUGAUAUGAAAAGUUUAUCACAUGCUUCGGAAAUUAUCACAUGCCUUUCCGUCAAUGUUAUCACAUACCUCUCCGUCAACACUCGGCAAAAUCCGGUAAUUGUUUUCAAAAUGGCAGAACUGAACAGUACAGACGAUAAUCCUGCCAAAGGAAGUUGAGGUGGACGAGACACUGGAAUUUGUAGAGGCUAUGAAAAACAAAAACACCAAACGGAAGACCGGUAAUUGUUUUCAAAAUGGCAGAACUGAACAGUACAGACGAUAAUCCUGCCAAACAAAGUUGAGAUGAACGAGACACUAGAAUUUGUAGAGACUAUGAAAAACAAAAAUACCAAACGGAAGACCUCAAGUGACUGUAAUAUUUUUACAAAUUGGCUAACAGCAAACGAUGAACAUAGAAACAUUGAGGAAAUCCCCGUGUUUGAACUGGACAAACUUCUCGCAAGUUUCUUUAUGAAGGUGACAAAAUCAGAUGGUACCCCAUAUGGACCAGGAACUGUGAAGGCGUUCCAGAGUAGCAUCUCAAGCUAUCUGACUGAUAAAUUGAGUAUUUUCAUUAUAAAAGACAAAGAAUUCAAUCAUUCUAGAGAGGUUCUCUCGGCGAAGACGAAGGAACUUAAGACAAUGGGGUUAGGAGAAAAAAAAAAGAUCAGAACCUUUCACCACCGAAGAAAUCAACAUAUUGUAUAAACAAAGACCAGCUUGGUAUAGGUAAUCCAGGUGCACUCAUUCACACUGUAUGGCUUAACAAUUCCUUACACUUUGGACUACGCUCCCGGGAAGAGCACACUACAUUACGUUGGGGCGAUAUUGAAAGGAAUGUGCCAUCCGGCGGUUGACAUGUAUUUAGAACAUACAGAAAAGCAGACCAAUGCACGGACUGGUGCUACAAAAGAUGCAAGACCAUUCCAGGCCAAAAUGUUUGAAGAUAAAGGAAAUCAUAGAUGUCCUGUUGCUACUUACCUAGAGUAUGCCAAGAGAAGACCGAAAGACAUGUUGGAAGCUGAUGGUCCUUUUUAUUAUGGAAUUAACCGAGAUGUCAAAGAUGGGGUAUGGUAUCACUACAAACCAGUAAAAGUCUGAAAUGGCCUAUAUCUGUACUCGACUGUACUGAUUUUUACUCGACCAGUCUGAAUUGGUCUGAAUUUUACUCAACAUUACUCGACCCCAGUCUUAACCAUACUCUACUGUACUGAUUUGUACUUGACCCUUAUCUUUGCCAUUGAAAAUAGUCUGAACUAUUACUCGACCAGUCUGAAACUGUCUUAACCCAUUCUCGACCUGUACUCGACCUAUUUUUUUCAGUCUAAACCAUACUCGACCAAAGGUCUGAACAAUACUCGACCAGUCUGACCCAUACUUGACCAAAUAACCUCUACUUUUUCUAAAUUCUAACUGUUAAAAUAAAUUUCUUUUUAACUGACAUGACAACAGCCACAAUAAAAUAAAGAUAUAUUAUAAAAAAAGAUUUUUACAUUCUUACAUGAUUCUCAGAUUUAUCAAAUAGAGAUAGUUAAAUCAAAUUAUCUUAUGUAAUAAUUUAAUUAUAUUAAUUUUAAUGUUUUUCUUUUACCUAAAAACCACACCUAUACUGAGGGUAAUUAAACCUUAUUAAGGUGCUUCUUGUUUGGCAUGUGUUUUUUUUUUAAAUUAAUUUUCCUAAAUUCCUAAAUAAAAACUACAUAGGUUUCAUGGUUACAUACAAAAAAUGUACAAUAGUUAUAUAAUUAUCUUUUUAAUGAGGUAACAACAGCCAACAAAAUCACUGAAAUUGUUUUACCUUAUUUCAGAAAUAUAUCUAUUAUUAUAAUUUGGGAUAUAUUAUAUACAAUAUAUAUCAAAAAGGAAUAAAAAUUAAAGAAAUUAAUGAAAUUGUUCUUAUGAUUAGUGGUGAAGUAUAAAGUAAUACCUCCUGCUUGGGGCAAACUCAUGAAAAAGAUCACACCUGGUCAGAGAGUAUUAAAUUCUAAAUAACAUUCAUUCAAAAUUGCAACAUCCUGUGAAACUUAAAUCACAAGGCCUUUUGAAUUCACUAGAUAAGUAAUACACGAGUUUAAGAAAAAUAGGGCUUUCUUUUAACCUGUAAAACAUACAUGUACUGAGGUAAUUAAACCUUAUUAAAGUGCUUCUUGUAUGCCAUGUCUUUUAAUUUUGACAAAAUUUAUUUAAAUUUAAUUGAAAUAAAUUUUUACUGUAACUUUGGAACACAUUUCCUUUUUUAAAAGUUUAUCACAGGUUUACUAUGGAAGUUCUAUUAUCAUGAUUAUAUUAAAUUCUUGGUUUAACAAAACAAAGGUGUCAUUUUUUAAAAUUUAUCAAGUUGCUUUAUAUGCUAUUUUAUAUAUAUUUUAAUAAAAAAAAUGUUCACUGCAUUAUUAACUAAACUCAACUGACACCAUAAAUCUCUACUAGGCUUAAGUAAAUGGUGAAAAUUGUCCAGUAACCAUAAAAUAUAACUGAAACAUUCAAAAAGUUUUGAAUAACAUUGAAAAUAUUAGUCGCAAUUCAGUUUUGAGAUUAUUUGAUCAGCUUGUUUUAUUUUUAUUUUAAAGGUGAUAUAUAUGUAUGUAUAUAAGUGUUGAUGAAUAUGGUGUUGAAGUUAUAUUAUGUUUAUUGUGAAAUUUUGGUUUCAAUGCUAUAUUGAAUACAUUUUUAAUUUCAAAUUGUUGUUCAAAUUUCUAGCCAGGGGAAAUAGCUGUUGUUAAAAACAGUUCCUAAAUUGAUGAAAUACAAUAGAUAGAUACAAAAAAUAGGUCUAGGUUGGUUAAGACUUGGUCGAGUAUGGUUCAGACUAGGUCGAGCAUGAUUCAGACUAGGUCGAGUAUGGUUCAGAC